rnacentral:rRNA from 1 species
AUUGAACGCUGGCGGCAGGCCUAACACAUGCAAGUCGAACGAGUGGCGGACGGGGGAGUAAUGUCUGGGAAACUGCCCGAUGGAGGGGGAUAAAUACUGGAAACAGUAGCUAAUACCGCAUAGCAGCGGAUGAGGCCAGAUGGGAGUAGGGAGUUGGUGGGGUAACGGCGCACCUAGGCGACGAUCCCUAGCUGGUCUGAGAGGAUGACCAGCCACACUGGAACUGAGCCACGGUCCCGACUCCUACGGGAGGCAGCAGUGGGGAAUAUUGCACAAUGGGCGCAAUCCUGAUGCCGCCAUGCCGCGUGUAUGAAGAAGGCCUUCGGUUUGUAAAGUACUUUCAGCGGGGAGGCGUUACUCGCAGAAGAAGCACCGGCUAACUCCGUGCCAGCAGCCGCGGUAAUUC